rnacentral:tRNA from 1 species
GGAUUGUGGCUCAGCGGUAGAGCAUUCACCUAGCAGGUGCGAGACCCUGGGUUCGAACCCCAGCACCA